AUUUGAUAAAAAAAAGAAGCCAGUAUGUGUGUCUGGCUCUGGAUCGAUCGAACAAAGGCAAGGGAAAGGUGAAACCCUAGUUUCACUAAUUUCAUCAAAUUGGGAAGAAAUCUCAAGGAAGCUCGGAUGCAUGAACCUGAAUGUUGAUCAUUUAAGUGUCUCUAACACAAAAAUGAGAUAAUAGGAGCGUGUCAAGGAGAGGUCAAGCAUAGGAGGAUAACGGGUCAAGAUAAGGCAAGGUGACAAAUACACUUAUUGGAGUACUCAAGGUAAGUGGAUUUCGAUUCACUUUUUAGUAGGUUUAAUAGAUUUUAAUACUUAUGUUUAUAAAAAAAAUCAUGAAAGAAAAUGUAAUAAUCAGAAGUACAAAGCUAAUAAUGCCUCAUUAUUGAAGAAGGUUGUUAUGUAAGCCGAAAGUAAAUUGGUGGGUUUAAACAGGUCGGAUUUUAUGUGCAUGGGUUGCGUAAUGUAAUGAAAUUUGUUAUGGUUAAGACCUUGGGUAAGAAUUUUAGUCAAUUAUGUAAGGGGAACAUUUUCCGGACCAUUAGGAACAAGUUUUAUAUGAUUCGGUUGUGUAUGGGUCAAGACAUGGUAGUUCUAAUGUUUAAAAUGGAAGUUGAGCUGGGCACUACCGUAGCUUACGGUAGCCACCGUAAGCUACGGUGGGUUCUGAAGUCUUUCUGGCCACCGUAAGGCAGCAGCACUUCACCGUAGGGGUUUUAUGGCCACCGUAAGCUACGGUAGCCACCGUAGCUUACGGUGGAACUGUCGCGCUCCGCGUAAUAGUAAGCUAUGGCUUACGCGGCCCGUGAGGGACCGUGCUGUUGGCGUUUUGCUGAAAUUGUGAUGUUUUGAGUAUGGAACUUGUUUAAAAAUGAUUUUUUUAAGGCCACAUACGUUAUGAUAAGGAUGGUUUCGUAUAUCAAUGAUGCUAAGGUUGUUGGUUAGUGAAUGAAUGGAUUGUUUCGUGUCAGUGUAGGAAAUUUUAUAAGUAUAUGUGUAUAGGAAUCCAAAAGGCACGUGGGUUGAAUCAUAGAUGGUCUAUACUAUGUAAGGUUGUAAAUGUGUCAUUUCGGCAUAAACCUACAUGUGCGAAAUGGUAAAAGGAGCUUGUGAAUAUAUUCGUGAUUAAUUGAUUGUGCGUAGGAAGGAACAUUGGCAUGUAUGAAGGUACGCAUGUAUAUAUAAGUAUAUAUAUAUAUAUGUAUGUAUGAUAAUAAGUACGUAGGUGUGAAUGUAUGUGUGAAUGAAUGUUCCAUGCUUAAGACAUAUACAUGAACGUUAUCAAAGUGUUCGAGUAUUUAUGAUUACUAAUGAUGUGCAUUGAGUUGGAAUGUAAUGUAGGUAUGGAUUGUUGGUUUCAUGAAGAAAUGGAGCUGGAUUUGGAUAAGAGUAUUUAAGAAAGCGCUUGGACAAUUCCACGAUUACUUUAUUGAAUGCUCUACGAAAUUCUAUUAUAUAGUUUAAUGUUGUAUGUUAUGUUAAUGACUAACGGUUUGGUUGUACGUGGUGUCCACAGGUAUCGUUUGGGUUUUCUCUAUAUUUAUUGAAGUGAAGCGGACUUAGUUCGAGUUGAGAGCAAGGAUUGUACGGGGUAGAAUGGCCACAUAGUGUAACUCAUAUAGGUUUUGAAGUAUUAAUGUUAUAAAACGUUAUAAAUCCGUUUUAAUGAAUAUAUGGCAUUUCGCAUUUGAACCUUCA